AUAAAUGAAGAAUGAUUGUUUAUAACUCAAAUAAUAACAAAGUGAUAAGACAUCGCAAGGGCACCGCGUAUUUUGUGAAUUACCGCUUCAGGUUCAUACAGAACAUAUAAAUUCUAAGGACGAAUACUUAAAAGCAGAAUUCAUCAGAUGUGCCUUGCUUCGAGAACCGAAUAUUGAAAAAUCAAUCUGCUGAGAAAAAUGGCUUCUACUUUGUUUUCCAUCUCAUGUAUUGCAAUGUUGGUAUUUUUGGUUCAAUGUGGACCUGUGAGAGAUAACUAAAAAGAGGGCGAAUUAAGAAUAGAACAAAUUUUACCCGGUGAUAUUGAUAUUUUACCAGUACAUAGCAGACACGUUCGGGAUACUGAUGGAUGGGAGGUAAAACCCAAAAUACACAGAGAUCAAUAUGGUAACAUUGACGGAUCUUUGAGAGUGGAUAGAGAAUUUGGGGACCAUGAAGCAUACGCUGAAGCUUCUAGUGUUUUCGGAGGACCCAAUGAAGGUGCAUCAACGUACACUCUUGGAGCAACCUUCAGGUGGUGAAGCAGAUUCUCCAGAUUCCAUAACAACUAAUGUAGGAGGGAACUAUAUUCUGAAAAACAUAGGGAGGUAGAUAUUUUAGUUGUCAUUAUUUCAGGGUUCAUUAAUGUAAAAUAAAUCAUAUUUGAUAUCGUUAGUAGAAAUAAACUUAUAAUGAAAUUUA